rnacentral:rRNA from 1 species
CCUACGGGAGGCAGCAGUGAGGAAUAUUGGUCAAUGGUCGGGAGACUGAACCAGCCAAGCCGCGUGAGGGAGGAAGGUACAGAGUAUCGUAAACCUCUUUUGUCAGGGAACAAAGACUGGGACGCGUCCCCGGAUGAGUGUACCUGAAGAAAAAGCAUCGGCUAACUCCGUGCCAGCAGCCGCGGUAAUACGGAGGAUGCGAAGGUUAUCCGGAUUUAUUGGGUUUAACGGGUGCGCAGGCGGUCUUUUAAUUUAGGGGUAAAAGCCCGGGGCUCAACCCCGGCCCGACGUUGAAACUGGCAGUAUCGAGUUGGAGAGAAGUAUGCGGAAUGCGCGGUGGAGCGGGGAAAUGCAUAGAUAUCGCGCAGAACUCCGAUUGCGAAGGCAGCAUGCCGGCUCCACACUGACGCUGAGGCACGAAAGCGUGGGUAUCGAACAGGAUUAGAUACCCGGGUAGUC